UACGUAGGGGGCAAGCGUUGUCCGGAAUUAUUGGGCGUAAAGCGCGUGUAGGCGGCUCGGUAAGUCUGCUGUGAAAGUUCAGGGCUCAACCCUGGAAUGCCGGUGGAAACUGUCGGGCUAGAGUCCGGAAGAGGCGAGUGGAAUUCCUGGUGUAGCGGUGGAAUGCGCAGAUAUCAGGAGGAACACCAAUAGCGAAGGCAGCUCGCUGGGACGGUACUGACGCUAAGGCGCGAAAGCGUGGGGAGCGAACAGG
rnacentral:rRNA from 1 species